rnacentral:rRNA from 1 species
ACUGCUCAGUAACACGUGGUUAACCUGCCCUUGGGACGGAAACACCCCCGGGAAACUGGGGCUAAUUUCCGAUAGGUGAAGGCUCCUGGAAUGGAUCUUCGCCUAAAGGGCGCUUAGGCCAUGCUUCUAGGCGCUGCCCAAGGAUGGGGCCGCGGCCGAUCAGGUUGUUGGUGAGGUAAUGGCUCACCAAGCCUUUAACCGGUUCGGGCCGUGGGAGCGGGAGCCCGGAGAUGGGCACUGAGACAAGGGCCCAGGCCCUACGGGGCGCAGCAGUCGCGAAAACUCCGCAAUACGCGAAGGCGUGACGGGGCUAUCCCGAGUGCCGUCCGCUGAGGAUGGCUUUUCCCCAGUGUAGAUAGCUGGGGGAAUAAGGAGAGGGCAAGUCUGGUGUCAGCCGCCGCGGUAAUACCAGCUCUCCGAGUGGUGGGGACGUUUAUUGGGCCUGAAGCAUCCGUAGCCAGCUGAGCAAGUCCCCAGUUAAAUCCAGCGAUUUAAUCGUUGGACUGCUGGGGAUACUGUCCGGCUAGGGGGUGGGAGAGGCCGACGGUAUUCCCGGGGUAGGGGUGAAAUCCUAUAAUCCCGGGAGGACCACCAGUGGCGAAGGCUGUUGGCUAGAACAUGCCCGACGGUGAGGGAUGAAAGCUGGGGGAGCGAACCGGAUUAGAUACCCGGGUAGUCCCAGCUGUAAACGAUGCAGGCUAGGUGUUAGGGCGGCCACGUGCCGCUCUAGUGCCGCAGGGAAGCUGUUAAGCCUGCCGCCUGGGGAGUACGGCCGCAAGGCUGAAACUUAAAGGAAUUGGCGGGGGAGCA